AAAAAAGGGUAACCUUUUAGUGGCAAACGGGUGAGUAAUACGUGGGAACAUGCCUUUUGGUGGGGAAUAACUUUGGGAAACCAAAGGUAAUGCCGCAUAAGUUUGUACAAUUUAUUUGUAUAAAGAAAGAUUUAUCGCCGAAAGAUUGGCCCGCGCUAGAUUAGAUAGUUGGUGGGGUAAUAGCUUACCAAGUCUAAGAUCUAUAGCUGGUCUGAGAGGAUGAUCAGCCACACUGGGAUUGAGAUACGGCCCAGACUCCUACGGGAGGCAGCAGUGAGGAAUAUUGGACAAUGGGGGAAACCCUGAUCCAGCGAUGCCGCGUGAAUGAUGAAGGCCUUUGGGUUGUAAAGUUCUUUUACCUGUGAAGAUUAUGACUGUAACAGGAGAAAAAGCUCCGGCUAAUUCCGUGCCAGCAGCCGCGGUAAUACGGAGGGAGCUAGCGUUGCUCGGAAUUACUGGGCGUAAAGGGUACGUAGGCGGUUUUUUAAGUAGAAUGUGAAAGCCCUGGGCUCAACCUAGGAACUGCAUUCUAAACUGGGAAACUUGAAUGUGGUAGAGGAAGAUGGAAUUUCUAGUGUAGAAGUGAAAUUCGUAGAUAUUAGAAGGAACGCCGGAGGCGAAGGCGAUCUUCUGGACCAUUAUUGACGUUGAGGUACGAAAGCGUGGGUAGCAAACGGGAUUAGAGACCCCGGUAGUCCACGCUGUAAACGGUGAGUGCUAAAUGUUGGGGAUUUUUUCUUCAGUGUUGAAGCUAACGCGUUAAGCACUCCGCCUGAGGACUACGAUCGCAAGAUUAAAACUUAAAGGAAUUGACGGGGGCUCGCACAAGCGGUGGAGCAUGUGGUUUAAUUCGACAAUACGCGCAAAACCUUACCAGCUCUUGACAUAUGAAUUAAGGAACUUAGAGAUUUGUUCCGUCGGUUCGGCCGGAUUCUAUACAGGUGUUGCAUGGCUGUCGUCAGUUCGUGUUGUGAAAUGUUAGGUUAGGUCCUGUAACAAACGAAACCCUUAUCCUCUGUUGCCAGCAAGUUAUGUUGGGCACUCUGAGGAAACUGCCGGUGGUAAACCGGAGGAAGGUGGGGGUGAUGUCAAGUCCUCAUAGCCCUUAUGAGCUGGGCUACACAUGUGCUACAAUGGUGACUACAAUGGGUUACAAUAGAGUAAUCUGGAGUUAAUCCUCAAAGGUCGUCUCAGUUCGGAUUGUUCCCUGCAACUCGGGAGCAUGAAGUUGAAAUCGCUAGUAAUCGCAGAUAAGUACGCUGCGGUGAAUACGUUCACGGGCCUUGUACACACCGCCCGUCAAGUCAUGGGAGUUGUUUUUACCUUAAAGUAGUGUGCUAACCGCAAGGGGGCAGCUAAAUAAGGUAGGGGCGAUGACUGGAACUAAGUCGUAACAAGGUA
rnacentral:rRNA from 1 species